rnacentral:rRNA from 1 species
CCUACGGGAGGCAGCAGUGGGGAAUCUUGCGCAAUGGGCGAAAGCCUGACGCAGCAACGCCGCGUGCGGGAAGAAGGCUCUCGGGUUGUAAACCGCUUUCAGCAGGAACGAAAAUGACGGUACUUGCAGAAGAAGGUGCGGCCAACUACGUGCCAGCAGCCGCGGUGACACGUAGGCACCAAGCGUUGUCCGGAUUUAUUGGGCGUAAAGAGCUCGUAGGCGGUUCGGUAAGUCAGGUGUGAAAACUUUGGGCUCAACCCAAAGCCUGCAUCUGAUACUGCUGUGACUAGAGUUCGGUAGGGGAGCGGGGAAUUCCUAGUGUAGCGGUGAAAUGCGCAGAUAUUAGGAGGAACACCGGUGGCGAAGGCGCCGCUCUGGGCCGAAACUGACGCUGAGGAGCGAAAGCGUGGGUAGCAAACAGGAUUAGAUACCCUGGUAGUCCACGCCGUAAACGUUGGGCACUAGGUGUGGGUCUCAACCAACGAGAUCCGCGCCGUCGCUAACGCAUUAAGUGCCCCGCCUGGGGAGUACGGCCGCAAGGUUAAAACUCAAAUGAAUUGACGG